rnacentral:rRNA from 1 species
GACGAACGCUGGCGGCGUGCUUAACACAUGCAAGUCGAACGGUGACGCGCCUUCCUUUUUGGUGGGUGUGGAUGAGUGGCGAACGGGUGAGUAACACGUGAGUAACCUGCCCCCUUCUUCUGGAUAACCGCAUGAAAGUGUGGCUAAUACGGGAUAUUCUGGCUCUGUCGCAUCAUGGGUCUGGGUAGGAUAUUGUUUCGGUAGGGGAUGGGCGCGCGGCCGAUCAGCUUGUUGGUGGGGUGAUGGCCUAGCAAGGCGGUGACGGAUAGCCGGCCUGGGAGGGUGCACGAGCACGCUGGGGAGGAGGCACAGCCAAGACGGGAACGGGAGACAGCAGUGAGGAAUAUGGGACGCUGGGCGGGAGCAUGAUGGAGCGACGGCGAGUGACUGAUGGAGGCCUGCGGGUUGUGAACUGCUGGCGCUAGGGAAGCAGAGCUCCCUUGUCUGUGAGUGGAUUGACAGUAGCGGGAGAAGAAGCGCCGGCUAACUACGUG